CAACGUAUGUAACCUACCUUUAUCAGGGGGAUAGCCUCUCGAAAGAGAGAUUAAGCCCGCAUAAAAUGAAGACACAGCAUUGUGAUUUCAUCAAAUAUUUAUAGGAUAAAGAUGGGCAUGCGGAACAUUAGCUAGUUGGUAAGGUAAUGGCUUACCAAGGCUACGAUGUUUAGGGGAUCUGAGAGGAUGGCCCCCCACACUGGUACUGAGACACGGACCAG
rnacentral:rRNA from 1 species